AACGAACGCUGGCGGCAGGCCUAACACAUGCAAGUUGAGCGCCCCGCAAGGGGAGCGGCGGACGGGUGAGUAACGCGUGGGAACGUGCCCCUUUCUACGGAAUAGCCUCGGGAAACUGAGAGUAAUACCGUAUAAGCCCUACGGGGGAAAGAUUUAUCGGGAAGGGAUCGGCCCGCGUUGGAUUAGGUAGUUGGUGGGGUAAUGGCCUACCAAGCCGACGAUCCAUAGCUGGUUUGAGAGGGUGAUCAGCCACACUGGGACUGAGACACGGCCCAGACUCCUACGGGAGGCAGCAGUGGGGAAUCUUAGACAAUGGGCGCGAGCCUGAUCUAGCCAUGCCGCGUGAGCGAUGAAGGCCUUAGGGUUGUAAAGCUCUUUCGUGGGGGAAGAUAAUGACUGUACCCCAAGAAGAAGCCCCGGCUAACUCCGUGCCAGCAGCCGCCGUAA
rnacentral:rRNA from 1 species